rnacentral:rRNA from 1 species
CAGUCGCCACGGGAACACGUAGGGUGCAAGCGUUAAUCGGAAUUACUGGGCGUAAAGCGUGCGCAGGCGGUUUCGUAAGACAGACGUGAAAUCCCCGGGCUUAACCUGGGAAUGGCGCUUGUGACUGCAAAGCUAGGGUGCGGCAGAGGGGGAUGGAAUUCCGCGUGUAGCAGUGAAAUGCGUAGAUAUGCGGAGGAACACCGAUAGCGAAGGCAAUCCCCUGGGCCUGCACUGACGCUCAUGCACGAAAGCGUGGGGAGCAAACAGGAUUAGAUACCCCAGUAGUCCCUGUCUCUUAUAA